GAUGAACGCUGGCGGCGUGCCUAAUACAUGCAAGUCGAGCGAACGGACGAGAAGCUUGCUUCUCUGAUGUUAGCGGCGGACGGGCGAGUAACACGUGGAUAACCUACCUAUAAGACUGGGAUAACUUCGGGAAACCGGAGCCAAUACCGGAUAAUACUUUGAACCGCAUGGUUCAAAAGUGAAAGACGGUCUUGCUGUCACUUAUAGAUGGAUCCGCGCUGCAUUAGCUAGUUGGUAGGGUAACGGCUUACCAAGGCAACGAUGCAUAGCCGACCUGAGAGGGUGAUCGGCCACACUGGAACUGAGACACGGUCCAGACUCCUACGGGAGGCAGCAGUAGGGAAUCUUGCGCAAUGGGCGAAAGCCUGACGGAGCAACGCCGCGUGAGUGAUGAAGGUCUUCGGAUCGUAAAGCUCUGUUAUUAGGGAAGAACAUAUGUGUAAGUAACUGUGCACAUCUUGACGGUACCUAAUCAGAAAGCCACGGCUAACUACGUG
rnacentral:rRNA from 1 species